rnacentral:rRNA from 1 species
CCUCCGUUUUUCCGCCGUUUUUACUAUUUUUCACUUGUCUCCAUCCUUACCCAGCAACGCCGCGUGAAGGAAGAAGGCCUUAGGGUUGGAAACCUGUUUUUUUAGGGACGAAAGUGACGGUACCUCAGGGAUAAGCCACGGCUAACUACGUGCCAGCAGCCGCGGUAAUACGUAGGUGGCAAGCGUUAUCCGGAUUUACUGGGUGUAAGGGGCGUGUAGGCGGGAUGGUAAGUCAGCUGUGAAAAGUCUGGGCUCAACCCGGAGCAUGCAUUUGAAACUGUCGUUCUUGAGUGUUGGAGAGGCAGGCGGAAUUCGGUGUGUAGCGGUGAAAUGCGUAGAUAUACGGAGGAACACCAGUGGCGAAGGCGGCUUGCUGGAGCGUAACUGACGCUGAGGCGCGAAAGCGUGGGUAGCGAACAGGAUUAGAUACCCGGGUAGUC